AGGAAUAUAGUUGCUGGGAUCUUACCACUUCAUCUCACUCCUAUACUGUUUUGAUUGUUGUCAGUUACGGGUUUUCUCUCAUUUCAUUCCGUUUUCAGGGGAUUUUAGCAGAGUCCAUGUUACAAUCCUAUCUUUAAUGUUUUUGGUCAUGCGCUAUAAUCCAUUGUAUUUUGAAGUGUUGAGGCUUUGUUUGGUUGCAAAUGAUUUAGGCGUUUUUGGGGGAUUGAUUUGGGAGAUGAGCAAAGAACACCCACCGGAGACUCUUGAUUUCUUCAUUUGGACUGUUGAGGAUGUUGGUUUGUGGUUGGAAGAGAUAAAUCUCGGUAGUUACCGCCAGAUUUUUAAAGAAAAUGGUGUCAAUGGAGAAUACCUGGAAAGUAUGUCCAUGUUUACCACUGAGCAGAUCCUUCGAUUUAUAAGACGAUGCCACAUGAAAUGGGGUGACUUCAUCACCUUGUGCAAGGAGCUCAGGCGGAUUAAAGUGGCUUGCUUGAAAGGGGAUCAAAAGGUCCGCCGGCCAUGGUGGGCUCCUUCUUGGCUCUCAAUACUCUUUAUCAAGGUGGUGAGACAGAACAGACAGUCACGAGUUGUUUCCUUGAAGCUGGAACAGUGAUGCAAGAUCUGCUUUAUAUGCCAUCCUCUCUCACUUUGUGGCAAAUAUUACAACACUACCACCUCCAAGAGGCUAAUUAGAUCAUAAAUAAUGGCAACCUCCGCCAUCCAACAGUCAGCAUUCGCCGGCCAGACUGCUUUGAAGCUAUCUAAUGAACUCGUCCGCAAGACUGGAGCCCGAGGCUCUGGUGGUGGUCGUGCUACCAUGAGGCGCACCGUGAAAAGUGCCCCAUAGAGCAUAUGGUAUGGCUCGGACCGUCCCAAGUAUUUGGGGCCAUUCUCGGAACAAAACUCCAUCAUAUCUAACUGGUGAAUUCCCUAGUGAUUACGGUUGGGAUACUACUGGCUUAUCAGCUGACCCUUAGACAUUCGCCAAGAACCGCGAGUUGGAGGUGAUUCACAGCAGGUGGGCCAUGCUUGGAGCCCUUGGCUGUGUCUUCCUAGAGAUCCUUUCAAAGAACGGUGUCAAGUUUGGGGAGACAGUGUGGUUUAAGGCUGGUUCCCAAAUCUUCUCUGAGGGGGGGCUUGAUUAUCUUGGCAACCCAAAUUUGAUUCACGCAUAGAGCAUUUUGGCUAUUUGGGCUGUUCAGGUUGUCCUCACGGGUUUCAUUGAAGGCUAUAGGGUUGGAGGAGGACCACUUGGUGAAGGACUCGACCAAAUCUAUCCUGGCGGUGCCUUUGACCCCCUUGGGUUGGCUGAUGAUCCCGAGGCAUUUGCAGAGUUGAAGGUGAAGGAACUUAAGAACGGUCAUCUGGCAAUGUUCUCCAUGUUUGGUUUCUUUGUUCAGGCUAUUGUCAUCGGAAAGGGCCUAAUUGAGAACCUCUUUGACCAUGUUACUAAUCCGGUGGCCAGCAAUGCAUGGGCUUAUGCCACAAACUUUGUCCCUGGAAAAUGAGCAAGCCUCACUAAAUAGAUACACUUCUCCUCAAAUGUAACACUUUGGCUUUGUACGUUGAAGUUGUCUGCUGUUCCUCCGUAGCGAUGUAACGCUACUAGUAGAAACUGCUCUCUACAGAUUGUUGUAUUGUUGAAGUUCUCAAUGAAAGUUAAGACGCUCUAGCUAUUUGGCCUGAA